CCCCUUUUGUAUGUUAUCCCUUGGGGAGAGGAGCGGAGGCGGGCUGCAUACUGUAUAAAACUCUGAGGUUCUUGUCUGUCUGUUUAACAGGUAUGAUUAUUGUGUUUUAUAUCCUUUAUGUGAGUGUAAUGUUUAUGCUUGUUACGCAGCCCUUUGUAUGUUAUCCCUUGGGGAGAGGAGCGGAGGCGGGCUGCAUACUGUAUAAAACUCUGAGGUUCUUGUCUGUCUGUUUAACAGAAUAAACGCAGAACAAACGAA